UACGGAGGGUGCAAGCGUUGUUCGGAAUUACUGGGCGUAAAGGGCGUGCAGGCGGGAUGGUAAGUCGGAUGUGAAAGCCCAGGGCUCAACCCUGGAAGUGCAUUCGAUACUGCCAUCCUAGAGUAUGGGAGAGGAGAGUGGAAUUCCGAGUGUAGAGGUGAAAUUCGUAGAUAUUCGAAGGAACACCGGUGGCGAAGGCGGCUUCCUGGACCGAUACUGACGCUGAGGUACGAAAGCGUGGGGAGCAAACAGG
rnacentral:rRNA from 1 species